GGUUGUAUGGUCCAAUGGUUAUGACGUCAGAUUCUGACUCUGUCUGAUCGAUCAGGCAACAACGUCUUUCUGAAGACCCGCGUUCGAUUCGCGGUACGACCU